UACGUAGGGUGCGAGCGUUGUCCGGAAUUACUGGGCGUAAAGAGCUCGUAGGUGGUUUGUCGCGUUGUUCGUGAAAACUCACAGCUCAACUGUGGGCGUGCGGGCGAUACGGGCAGACUGGAGUACUGCAGGGGGAGACUGGAAUUCCUGGUGUAGCGGUGGAAUGCGCAGAUAUCAGGAGGAACACCGGUGGCGAAGGCGGGUCUCUGGGCAGUAACUGACGCUGGAGGAGCGAAAAGCGUGGGGAGCGAACAGG
rnacentral:rRNA from 1 species